rnacentral:rRNA from 1 species
CCCUACGGGGGUCAGCAGGCGCGAAAACUUUACAAUGCGGGAAACCGUGAUAAGGGGACACCGAGUGCCAGCAUCAUAGUGCAUGGCUGUCCGGAGUGUGUAAAAUACACCUGUAAGCAAGGGCCGGGCAAGACCGGUGCCAGCCGCCGCGGUAACACCGGCGGCCCGAGUGGUGAUCGUGAUUAUUGGGUCUAAAGGGUCCGUAGCCGGUUUGGUCAGUCCUCCGGGAAAUCUGACGGCUUAACCAUUAGGCUUUCGGAGGAUACUGCCAGGCUUGGAACCGGGAGAGGUAAAAGGUACUACAGGGGUAGGAGUGAA